rnacentral:rRNA from 1 species
UAAGGAAUCUUCCACAAUGGACGAAAGUCUGAUGGAGCAACACCGCGUGGUCGAUGACGCCUUUUGGGGUGUAAAGACCUUUUCUGAGUGAAGAACUCUGACGGUAACUUAGGAAUAAGCACCGGCUAACUCCGUGCCAGCAGCCGCGGUAAUACGGAGGGUGCAAGCGUUACCCGGAAUCAUUGGGCGUAAAGCGUCCGCAGGCGGUUUGUUAAGUAAGAUGUUAAAUUUUGCAGCUCAACUGUAAAUCUAUGUCUUAAACUGGCUAACUAGAGUUUUGGAGAGGUGCGUAGAAUUCUGUGUGUAGGGGUAAAAUCCGUAGAUACACAGAGGAAUACCAAAAGCGAAGGCAGCGCACUGGCCAAUUACUGACGCUCAUGGACGAAAGCGUGGGUAGCGAACGGGAUUAGAUACCCCGGUAGUCCACGCUGUAAACGAUGGAUACUAGGUGUAGGGAGACUCGACCCUUUCUGUGCCAAAGCAAACGCAUUAAG